rnacentral:rRNA from 1 species
UACGUAGGGUGCGAGCGUUGUCCGGAAUUAUUGGGCGUAAAGAGCUUGUAGGCGGUUUGUCGCGUCUGCCGUGAAAGCCCAGGGCUUAACCUUGGGUCUGCGGUGGGUACGGGCAGACUAGAGUGUGGUAGGGGAGACUGGAAUUCCUGGUGUAGCGGUGAAAUGCGCAGAUAUCAGGAGGAACACCGAUGGCGAAGGCAGGUCUCUGGGCCACUACUGACGCUGAGAAGCGAAAGCAUGGGGAGCAAACAGG